CAAAGGUGACGGUGUUAGUAGAUGAGACGUUUGGGAGGUGAUCAGGUCAUGAAGGCGGAGCCCUCAGGAUUCCUAGAAGGAGAUCCCUCAGAGCUUCCUAGCCUCUUCCCCCAUGUGAGUACACAGCAAGAAGUCUGCAACUCGGAAGAGACCUUCACCCAACCACGCUGGCACCCUCAUCUCAGACUUCCAGCCUCCAGAACUGAAAAUCCACUCUGUGUUGCAUCAUUACUGUCGGCUUCCAUAUCCAUCAUCCAAUCACAUUUCUCCUCCACCUUUGCCUCUUGCACUUGAUGGGUUCUCCCCUCAGACCUCAUCUCCAUGGCAACUGUACAGAAUUGAUUCCAAGGUACUUCUGAGGUGGUUUUCAUUUUAUAAAGCUUUUCCCCUCAACUCAAUCUCCAGGAGGCACUUUCCCCCUCCUUCUGUUGUUUAGUGCUCUUGUCUUUGACCUCUUGCCCCUCCUGUUUGAACUCUUGCUUCAUUGGCUUGCUUUAAUUUCUUUGAUGGUUUGGAGAAGUUUUCUCUAAAUGUUUCUCAAUUGCGUGAUCUAAUUCUUGUUCAAGAAUGUAUUUUUAAUCGGCUCUGCCUGCCCCCAUUUUUGUAAUAUCUAGGCCUAAGUCCCACGUUGGUUCCUUUCCGGUCAUCAUUUCAUGGGAGUGGCUCUAUCUCAGCCUGCCUGAGAAUUGCCUGAUGCCAUCACCCUUCUUUCCUGAUAAUCUGGGCAUCGUUUGAAUUCUUCCUUUAGAAAGAGAGGUGAAGAACCAGUUAUUGACUGUUUAUAAUGAAAUAUCUGCUCACUCCUUCAGCUGCUGGAGAAUGGGUGAGAGGAGCGAGAAGUGAGCUGGAGUAAGUCUGCCUUGACUUGGGGAUGUUGCCUGCAAAGCUUUUGCACGGUUCUCUUCUGCUAUUUCAGGCAUUUCUCUCUUUAGGGAAGCAAAGCGACAUGGCAGCAGACCCCAGAUCAAGGUAAAGCCCUACAGCUCUGGACUGCUUGUCUGUUGUGACCUUACAAACCAC
rnacentral:lncRNA from 1 species